rnacentral:tRNA from 2 species
GUGGGUAUAGCUCAGUUGGUAGAGCCCCGGAUUGUGAUUCCGGUUGUCGUGGGUUCAAAUCCCAUUACUCACCCCA